UACGUAGGGGGCAAGCGUUGUCCGGAAUCAUUGGGCGUAAAGAGCGUGUAGGCGGCUUGGUAAGUCCGCUGUGAAAGUCCAGGGCUCAACCCUGGAAAGCCGGUGGAAACUGUCAAGCUUGAGUCCGGAAGAGGCGAGUGGAAUUCUCGGUGUAGCAGUGAAAUGCGUAGAUAUCGAGAGGAACACCAGUGGCGAAGGCGAGUCCCUGGACAGGUCCUGACGCUGAGGCACGAAAGCUAGGGGAGCAAACAGG
rnacentral:rRNA from 1 species